UGAGGAAUAUUGGGCAAUGCCCGCAAGGGUGACCCAGCAACGCCGCGUGGAGGAUGAAUGUCUUAAGAUUGUAAACUCCUGUUAGAGGGGAAGAAUAGUACCGGUUGGACCGGUAUAUGACUGUACCCUCAGAGAAAGCCCCGGCUAACUACGUGCCAGCAGCCGCGGUAAUACGUAGGGGGCAAGCGUUGUCCGGAUUUACUGGGUGUAAAGGGCGCGCAGGCGGGAUAAAAAGUCAGUGGUGAAAUCCUACAGCUUAACUGUAGAACUGCCUUUGAUACUUUUAUUCUUGAGUUCGGGAGAGAGAGACGGAAUUCCAGGUGUAGUGGUGAAAUACGUAGAUAUCUGGAAGAACACCAGUUGCGAAGGCGGUCUCUUGGUCCGACACUGACGCUGAGGCGCGAAAGCGUGGGGAGCAAACA
rnacentral:rRNA from 1 species